rnacentral:rRNA from 1 species
CUACGGGCUGCAGCAGUGGGGAAUAUUGGACAACGGGGGAAACCCUGAUCCAGCAAUGCCGCGUGUGUGAAGAAGGCCUGCGGGUUGUAAAGCACUUUCGGUUGGGAGGACUGCUUCUAGCACUAAUAUUGUUGGAAGUUGACGUUACCUUCAGAAGAAGCACCGGCUAACUCCGUGCCAGCAGCCGCGGUAAUACGGAGGGUGCAAGCGUGAAUCGGAAUUACUGGGCGUAAAGCGCGCGUAGGCGGCUAGAUCAGUCGGGUGUGAAAGCCCCGGGCUUAACCUGGGAACUGCAUCCGAUACUGUCUAGCUUGAGUACAGGAGAGGAGAGUGGAAUUCCACAUGUAGCGGUGAUAUGCGUAGAUAUGUGGAGGAACACCAAUGGCGAAGGCAGCUCUCUGGCCUGAUACUGACGCUGAGGUGCGAAAGCGUGGGGAGCAAACAGGAUUAGAUACCCUAGUAGUC